rnacentral:rRNA from 1 species
GAAUCCCGUAUAUGGCACGGACUCCCGUUGCUCUGUGAUACACUCUCGACGAGUCGAGUUGUUUGGGAAUGCAGCUCUAAAUGGGUGGUAAAUGCCAUCUAAAGCUAAAUAUUGGCGAGAGACCGAUAGCGAACAAGUACCGUGAGGGAAAGAUGAAAAGCACUUUGGAAAGAGAGUGAAACAGUACGUGAAAUUGUUGAAAGGGAAACGCUUGAAGUCAGUCGCGCCGUUCGGGAUUCAGCCUUGCUUCUGCUCGGUUUACUUCCCGUAGGGUGGGUCAACAUCAGUUUCGAUCGGAGGAGAAAGGCUUGGGGAAGGUGGCAGCAUUCGUGCUGUGUUAUAGCCCCUCGUUGUAUACUUCGACUGGGACUGAGGACCGCAGCACGCCUUUGGCCGGGGUUCGCCCACGUACGUGCUUAGGAUGUUGGCAUAAUGGCUUUAAUCGACCCGUCUUGAAACACGGACCAAGGAGUCUAACAUGCCUGCGAGUGUUUGGGUGAAAAACCCGAGCGCGUAAUGAAAGUGAAAGUUGAGAUCCCUGCCAUGGGGAGCAUUGACGCCCGGAUCUGACCUUUUGUGACGAUUCUGCGGUAGAGCAUGUAUGUUGGGACCCGAAAGAUGGUGAACUAUGCCUGAAUAGGGUGAAGCCAGAGGAAACUCUGGUGGAGGCUCGUAGCGAUUCUGACGUGCAAAUCGAUCGUCAAAUUUGGGUAUAGGGGCGAAAGACUAAUCGAACCAUCUAGUAGCUGGUUCCUGCC